GACGAACGCUGGCGGCGUGCUUAACACAUGCAAGUCGAACGGAAAGGCCCUGCUUUUGUGGGGUGCUCGAGUGGCGAACGGGUGAGUAACACGUGAGUAACCUGCCCUUGACUUUGGGAUAACUUCAGGAAACUGGGGCUAAUACCGGAUAGGAUCUCCUGCUGCAUGGUGGGGGUUGGAAAGUUUCGGCGGUUGGGGAUGGACUCGCGGCUUAUCAGCUUGUUGGUGGGGUAGUGGCUUACCAAGGCUUUGACGGGUAGCCGGCCUGAGAGGGUGACCGGCCACAUUGGGACUGAGAUACGGCCCAGAAUCAUACGGGAGGCAGCAGUGGGGAAUAUUGCACAAUGGGCGGAAGCCUGAUGCAGCAAAGCCGCGUGCGGGAUGACGGCCUUCGGGUUGUAAACCGCUUUCGAAUGUGACGAAGCGUGAGUGACGGUAAUGGGUAAAGAAGCACCGGCUAACUACGUG
rnacentral:rRNA from 1 species